CCCCCAGUGACUCAGUGGGUCAGUUUGCAUGGCUGUUCACCAGAAGGUUGGUGGUUCAAGUCCACCCAGGGACAGGA